GGGGGCUAUACCUAGCCCCAUCUAGUAAUAUAGAUAGGUACAUGGACGCACAAAUGUGAGACUUAUCUAACAGUUGGUACCAAAAACUCUGUUAGCAGUUAAUGGAAAACACAAUAUAUAGAAAAUUCUCUUUGUCUAGGUGUAUGUGUUUUAAAGAACAUGCGUAUACAGGGUAAUUGCAAUCUUCAUACUAACGCCCGAAAUCAAUUGGUCAAACCCAAAGCGCCUAGUUAUCAAGACGAAGUUGUAAAGCAGACAAUGGUAUUUUGAACCUGUGACAUUUGUGUUACACUUCUCGAAGCUAUGCCACCUGGCCUGAGCCAGGAUGGUCCGUGGGUGGCACGGGGAUUUUAACCUGGGAGAAUGUCUAAAAUGGACAAGUAUAGGAUAUGGAAAGAUUUCACAAAUAUAAAAAAACACUUUAUGUUAUCAGGAAUUCUAAGCUAACCUUUGACUUUCACUUAAGGUUGAUUAACAGCAAACCUUUGAAAAGAAAUAUCAAUGGUUAAAUUGCUGACAUUCUACUUAUAAUGUUUUCUCCUGUUAGGUAUCAGAUAUCAACUUUGGCAACAAAACUUGGUGUCAGAAACAUUGCCUUCCUUGGCUCUGGUUUAUUGGUAGCAAAUUACAUUGCUGCUAUUGUUGUAGCUUUUCUCAUGCCUCAGGUAUCUUACUGCUACCUUUGACCUCCCUUGUAGCUUCUUUUCUCCUUCUGGCUAAAGAGACACGAACCCAACAAGUGUUGUACAUAAUAUGCAUUUUACUGGAAUCAUUUCCAGUACCUUGUUUUUGCAUAUCUUUAAUUCAACUCCAGUAAACCCUUAGAUGGUAGAAACACAAAUAGGGACUAUUAUACUACUACCUUACUGCUACUCACAGUUUUAGUAUGCACUUCCAUAAACAGUGUUACGAUUUGGAAGAUGCAAAAGCACUUGUAAAUGUAGGUAUAUGCACUAUCUUAGCCUCCAAAGGGCAUCAAGAUUUAUUCAAGGUUAUUGCAAUGAGUAGCAAACAGGAUUGUGGUUUGAAUAUUUAAAGUUAUCAUCAAUCUUGUGGCAUGUUUGAUGAUUAUGAUUGUAGGUGCAGUCAUGUACCUGCAUGUAAAUUUUGAAAGAUGUGCACCUUUUCUUCCUCAAUUUCACGCAACAUGUUCAAUUAAUAUGGCCUCUAUCCCAUUCUGUCACUUCUCCCAUGGUUGAUCUUGGACACUUUUUAUAUAAUCCCACAAUUUUUUUCUCGUUUAUAUUUAUGCUGUAAAAAUGCAUUCAUUCAGACUCUUAGUGAUGAUUUGUUACUGUAAUUUUGUCUUUUGUCCAAUAUGCCAAAUAGUCUCAUGAAUUUUCUUAUAUUUCUGAAGUAUAUCAGCAUGAAGGAUUGCUGUUCUUUCCAUUGGAUUUUCCAGAACAGUGUGCAUGCUUCAAUAUAGGUAGCGUUACAUGGCUCCUUUUGCACUAAUAUUUUCUAAUUUGCAGGCCUUCAGGCGCACUGUCAUGGUCCCUGUGCAUGUUGCCCUUGCAGCUGGUUUAAUUUUCCAGGUAAACAUGUUUAGUAUUGUGAAUGAUCUAUCCUGCAGCUUAUGUUCUUAUUGUUUCUUCUUAAUAUAGAGAUACGCAGCUCUCUUGCGUGUUUGAGAACAUGUUCAUAAUUGUUCGAUGCAAAGCUAUGUGAUUAGUGAAUUGGACUAAUCAGUAUUAUAACCUUGCUUCUGUGGCAUUUGUGUUCUAGUUCUGACAUGUUUGUUCUCUACCAUGAUUUCAGACAUGGGUUCUGGAGCAAGCGAAGUACACUAAGGUGAAUCAUUUUUUACUUGCAUGGUGUAUUUGUUUAAUCUUUUUCUUCAUGGAAGAUCACUUGCAAAAGUAUUUGUGAUAUCUGGGGGCAAAAACUUAUGAUAAAAGGGUGGUUCUUUUGUUUAGUGACCAUAUGUGCCUCAUUUCUAAUUUAGAAGUUUGCCUUCAUCUGUUUUACAGGAUGCUAUUUCGCAAUAUUAUCGGUUCAUCUGGAAUCUCUUCUAUGCUGAAUAUAUCUUCUUUCCGUUGAUAUAGAGCCUAGAGGUAACUUUCUUUUAUUAGCAUUUGACCAUACUUUUAAAUUUCGUUUACUUCCAAGAUUUUAUUUCAUAAAAAUUCUCAGAUCUGGUAGUUCAGACUUCAGAGUGGGCUACAGCCUAAUGAUGGGAGCAAAUCAAAAAGGGAGGAGUCGAUAAAGUGCAGGGGCGAUCAUAGUCGGCUGAUGCCCCUUUUGUGCAUAUGAAGCGUACUUGUUGUGCAUAUGUUGUACGGAAACAAAAUGCAGUGAUGUUUCAAGGAUCCUGGAGUUUUAGGAGCUUGGGAAGCUUUUGUCAUGCUGAGGGUGAGGGCUUUAACUUGUUGGAGCUGCGGUAGCUGGCUUUGGCACAAAUUCAACAGUGCCCCGUUCUGUAGGGUCUUGUCUGGGAGGGCUUGAGCUCAGGUCUGACGUCGAUGGAAACUCAAGCUAGUUCUGGCCCGAAACAGGUGGUGGUGCUGGUGCUGGUGCAGCGGCCAAGCCAACUAGCCAAGCACGUUUCUUGUCACUCGAGGUUAAGCUAGUAUAUAUGCGAGACAUAUUGAUGGCGUGCCCUCACGAGUCACGCGAAUACAGACCACGGACUACUAGUAUCCCCUUGGCUUAUACUGCAUAUAUAUUUCUUGAGCUUCAGCUGUACCUGUUGUAUAGCAGGAACCACUGUCUUUUCCACCGUUCGAUCUGGAAGGACUGAAAGUUCCUCCAUGUGUCAUCAUUUGUCUGCAUCAUGUCAGCUAGCUUCGUGACAUACUAUAGCAAUGCGGCCAAGAGCCAGGGAGGCAGGGAGCUACAGGCAGCGGUCGCACGAUGCUCGGCCUCCGCCGUCGGUCACAACGUGCGACGAGGCGGCUGUUCGAGCGGAAGUUGUGGGGAGGAAGGCGCGCAUGGCGAGGUGCCGGCACGCAUGGUCGCGGACUGGGACGGCGGAGCCGGGCUGUUCCCAGCGUGGGAGGUAGCCUCCCGGCUCCGCUGCCGCUGUCCCCGGCGGACUCGGGCUCCCGGAGCCGCCCUCACCGGCCGCACCAAACACACAGCGGCAGGCGUUCCUUCCAGCUGUGGUCCGAGCCCGGGUGAUGUUUGCCUCUUUCUUCGGCAAUUGAACAUUUGAACCUGUAUGGGAAAUGCUCUUGUCAUCUCAACGAUCAAACUGCUGUCAUCUUAUCUGCUGCGCCCUGGAAUUUGCUCAAAAAACAUGGAGAACGGAGAGCCACGGCGGCACGGCCGGCGGAGCCGCGGCCGCCCACGCUGUGCCACUUCCACGACACGCGGGGCGUGGCAAGGCUCGCCAGGGACGUGGCUCACCUGAAGGACGUCGCCGUCGAUCGCGACGCCAGGAGAGGUUGCGCUAGGGCCUUGGAAGUUCUGCAUGCGUAGGGCGCACCCGGCGGUGGCAUUCGACGCAAAGAGCAAACACGAUGAUCUUGAUCGGCGGGAUGAAGGUACGCCACUGGCCGAGGAUUGCGUAUAGUUUGGUUUGGUUUUGAGGCAGAGGGGGGUGUUGCAUCGGGCAGGAGUUGCUACAGCACGAUGGAUUGGUGCUCGCUUGUCCGGAUUGGGAGACCAUCUUUUGCUUGCUCUAAAGCAAACACCACACCAGGAACAACACAUCGUUCCUAAAACCCUGGCUUACAUAGCAGCAAGAACCAUGUCUCAACUCUCAACGCACCAUGACAAAACCCUGGCUUACAUAGCUAAAAUGCAGCAAGAACCAUGUCUUAAUAACGCACCAUGACAAACAUUUUUUCUGAUGCAAACUAGAACAAACUUAACUACUAAAACAAGCUAGUAGAAUUUGCAAUCGUUGGACACCGCGCAGCUCGCUCGGUAGCCGCCCUCGAGCAGCUUCACGAGACGAACCUGACGAUCUGCUCCUGGCGUUGCAGCUUGCGGGCGACCUCGGAAGAGACGAAGGCGUCGACGCAGGCAUAGAUGAUCUGCUCGUCGCUGAGGCCUGAGGCUGCGCGUCCCAGCGGCUCAUGGUCACCCUGUGCGGCUUCGCGAGGUCGACGCCCAAGAUGGCGGCAACGAUGGCGCGCAGCCCAGCCUGGCAGAGGUCUGGGCGGCCGCCCAUGUACUCCUCCGCAUAGCCCCGCAGGUCCACCGCCCUGCCUACCUCCAGGCCGUAAAUUUUGUUUCCAGUACAUGGAUUAGGAUUUUAAAAGAUCAAACCUCGUAAAUUAUGACGAACAGUUAAUCAGACUACAUGCAAAGUUGAUACUGCAUCUACAAACGAAUGGACGUAGUGUUUUCUUUUUGCACCACAAUAACCUCGUUCUGGUUUUGCGCACAGCAUAACUCCCAAUCAUAUCCACUGCCAUCAUGAACAUAAGUUUGUACUGCAUCUUUCAAGUGUCUUCAACCAUUUCCCGUAACAGCACCGAGUACCAUAACAAACUUGAGGUAGUUCCAGCCUUCCAGCAGAGACAUCCACAUCGAAGAAAGGAAUUUAGCAUACAUAUAUCAAUAUAAUGUACCCACGGUUUACAAUAAAACUGUAGCAAGAUACAAUCUAUCCAUGUUCCUUUUACUGGGCUGCAGCACCAAAAUUAUCCAACUGGAUGAUACAACAACAAAAUCAGUUACAUAGUUUGGGGUUUAAUUCCCCUCGACGCCUGCUGCUGUCACUGCUGGUCCUUUGCCUACCCAGUAUUUGUAAGCAGCAUAAACAGAGGACACGACUACGGCGCCAAGGACCAAGUAAGUGAAGAUCGUGGCCACACUGAUUUGGCUGGGGCCCUUCUUCACUUUGCUUUGUGCCAGCAACGCCUUUGGCUUGAGCUUGGCCAUGCUGCGCUUCUGAUAAUGCCAAGCGAAAAGGACAGAAUCAGUGUAAGCAAGUUGUGGAUAGUACCAAAAAGAAAAAGACAAGCAUGGUUUUUGUUGGGCCAGUGUCAAUCAAAAAAAAAUCAACAGUAAGUCUGUAGCUACAAUGCAUCAGGUUGUCAAAAAUAAAAAUGUUGCUAAGGUGAUUGUUUCUUUCAAGCUACUAAUACCUGAUUCAUAGUGUAAAAUAGGUAGUAGAAUACGGUAAUCUGAAAAUUUGAAACAGGUAUAUAACGGAGGCAAUGGUGGGAUCAGAACUUCAGGUUGCAAGUGUUCCAUGUGGGGCACAAAAUGGAACUGCUGGCAAACUUUGCAUCUUGAUUGAACCAAAGUUCCAAUUGGUUUACAAACAUUCACAGAGUACAGUCUCUUGGUCUUAUGUAAAUAGCAAUAUGAUUCAAAAGAGGAGCUUAACAAAAUAACAAGUGAUGAAUGGGGCUGGGUGCAAAUAGCGUGACAGCAUUUAGAUUCGUGCACUCAAAAGUUGCUGACAUGCAAACUAUUGGAUUUUUCAUUUAUAGCUGAAAGACUUGUUGGACAGGACAGAUAAAAGAUGAUAGUCUCAUGGAGUUACAUGAUUAUUGAAACAAGAGGCAAAGAACCCACUUGAAAACUCCAUCCACAACAUAAGUUUCAGGUAAGUGUUACUUGUAUGAUAUUGCAUAGGGGACAAUUUGAUGGACAUAAAUAAAAAAAUCGUGAAUCAAUUUCUACAACUUUGCAGCCUGAAUUAACUUAUGCACUCAAUCAAUUUACUUGCUUCAUAGGAAGCAGCAACUAGCUAAUCAAACAAGUCAUUCCUCCUUUCCAUCCUCUCUUACUACUUCAGAAUUCAGUUGUGGCCAAGGCAAGUUCAUACUUUGUUUUAGUGGAAGUUUGAAAUUUCAGCUACCAUACUUAACUACAUUAAAGUGGAAAAGGACCAUCAGGAAAUGAUUAAGGAAAGAUAAUUCAAUCAUGAAACAUAGUUCUCAACAAGAACAACUUUGGACAGCAUAUUUUCAUUUUGCUCUGUAAAUGCAAGUGCUAGAUACAAAAAGCACAAGGAUACACUAGCUUUUUAAAAAAAGUUAUAUCAUGAACGGUGUCUUAAACUAUAUAUAUUCACUUGUCACCUCAGAGCACCUUCCAAGCCAAUAUUGUUCGUAUGAAAAACUAAAUGCAAGAUUGGAGAGCAUAUCAACCGCUUGUUAUCUAAAGCAGCUUCCUUUGCUAGAUGGCACAAUGAUUCUCUGUCUUACUUAUGGGUGCAGCCUUUCAAACAAAAAUUAUGUGGUGCAGACCAAGGUUCUGCGUACUGGGCAUAUCCUCAUAGUUCGAUACACCCCAUUUCCGACUGGGUCAAAGACGACAAUCAGACUAAGCAUGACCAGGGAGGGCAGACUUAGCGGAGGGUGCAGGGAUCCAGAUGCAGCACCAAAUUUCCUUGGGGGAAAGAAUGCUAUCAAGUGGUCCACCACGCCCAGGGACAGGGCUUGGUUGGGAGUCAACAUGGGAUGGGAUGGGGUCAUCCCUAUUUUCUAGGAUGAAAUGAUUCCCUCUCACGUUUGGUUGCAGGGUUGGGUUCAUCCCUUUUUUUUGUUUGGUUGGAGGGAUGAGAGGGGAUAGGAUGAUCCCAUCUCAUGUUUGGUUGGAGGGAUGAGGAUAAAUAACUAGAUAUGGUCACUUGCAUUGUACUCCUGGUAAGCUUACCUCAUUUGUACACAAAAAAAAAAAAUUGCAGCUUUUGCUUAGGCUAGUCACUUUGAUUGAUAAAGCAACAUGCUAGCUAAUAUAGAGUGUAACCAUAUAAGCUCCAAAACCGAAUAUUACAACCUCCAGAAACAUGCCACGAUGCUCCAAAAUUGAAUAAUAUAGAGUCAAAUUUUCUAUUGGAACCAUACAUACCAUUGGAACAAGCAAAAUCAUAUUGUCCCAUAUCCAUCCAGACCAUUGGAACCAUACAGACCCAUCCAAGAAUCCAUAUAUACGUAAUCUGACACAAGAAUCCAGACCCUCGACUAGCAAGCAAAAGAACCAAAUCACAUAUGGAGUCACAUAUAUCAUAUUUAGGCAUUCAAACCAUAUUAUACUGUCACAUAGACAAUACUAACCAUACAUGCUGGGUGAGACAUAGACAAAAUUGCUUCAGCUAAGCAUAGACAAAAUGGCUAGCUGCUCACUAGUUGAAUGCUAAUAAAGGCAGGCAACAAAUAUAAGCCUAAUGCUAAUAAAGGCAGGCAACAAAUAUAAGCCUACAACAAGCUAACACAUCCUAACAGGGUGAUACAUCAUGAAUUUUGUUCAGUAACAUCAAGCAAGCACAACCACCAAGAUCAAACCUUUUUACAUACCCACCCAAUCCAGUAAAAUUUCAAGCACCAAGAAACGCAGUAAAAUUUCAGGCAGUAAAAUUUUCUUGCAUGGAGAGACUCUGGUCACCAGGAGCUGUGCGACAUAUCAGUGUGACGAUCGCUAGCACAUAGCACAUAGUCCAAUUCAACAACUAACAAGGGCAGAGCAUAUCUAUGUGCAUUCGUAAUCAUCUAGCAUAAUCAUACUGUUCCAACCCAAAUCAUUUUGACCUUUACCAGUGAUCAUGAGCAUGGAAUAGCAUCAGAAACAAAACACAUCACAACAUGCCUACCAAACAUCACAACAACAGGCUAGGGUUUCAUACCUUGGGAUCUCACUAUGAUGCAGAACGAGGAUCUGCACUGGGUGUUCUUGGCGUGGGAUCCAGAUGCAUCCUCAAAAUUUUUGGGGGAAAUUUUGCUAUCCCGUGAUCCACACAACGCAGCAAACAAAGCGGACGGAGUGGAACAUCCACCUCAGGAAGAAAUACUUGGAAUUCAACUUCUCUCUACCUCCAAGCAACAAACAAAGGGAAGAGCGGGACAGGAACGGAUCCAGAGCACGCGAAUUUUGCACGGGCUUGCCGUUGGGAACCAACUAAGCACGGGUAGCUUAUCAGGGCAUCAGGCUAACCCUGGAAGUACGAGCAGGAGUACAGGGCCGCAAAUCCACAAGCGAUCCCGCCACCAUAGGCGUUGGUUGCUACGGUUUGGACGGAUCCAUGCACAACGGAUAAAAAUAGCGACGAACUAGCGGAUCGGAACGGGAACCGCGCCGCUCACAUCCCUCAACCCGUACACGCGAAGCUAGGGAUUCCUCACCUAGGAACCGGAGUCUGCACCCCAAGCGGCGGACGAGCGAGGACGACGAGGGAGUCGAGGACGAGGCGGCGGGCGCCUCUACCGCUACGGGCGAAUGUAUGGAAUAGUCUCGGGGGGAGACCGCAAGGGAUUGCCUGGACUGGAUCUGGAUCUGGAUCGAGGCGUGUUGGAAGCAGGGACGAAACGCCGAGGCCCGAGGCCGAGACGCGGCUGUGCGCCACCGUCCGCUGGGUUUAGCCCGGGUGGGAGCUCGUCGCUCGAUCAGGUUCGGCUGGCCUGGUGCGUGAGCUGUCCGGCUGCUGGUGUUGGCUGACUGGGAGGGGGGUUCUGCCACAUGGAACCCAUUUGCUUGGACAAUUAUACCACACAAUAUGACAAGACACGUACUCUAUUUUAUUAUCAGAGAAAAUAAAAAGAUUAUACACCAUAUCAGGUCACGUAAUUUAAUUUACUGCACCAACAUUAGUGACACUUGUUGCAUAAUUGCAGAACACAGACCACCCUAUUUACCAGAUCAGAUCACGUAAUUUAAUUUACUGCACCAACAUUAGAGACAUUUCUGUAUAGUUGCAGAACACAGACCACCCUAUCACGUCAUGUACUUCAAUUUACUGCCACACGCGAAUUUCGCACGGCUUGUCGUUAGGCACCAACUAAAGCACAGAUGGUUUAUCAGGUUAACCCUGCAAAUACGCCGCAACUCCAUAAGUGAUCCCGCCACCCGUAGGCGUUGCUGUAGUCCGGACGGAUCCAUCCGUAGCAGAUAAAAAAACGACGAACUAACGGAUCAGAGCCGGAGAAAUAACUAAACUACGCUUCCAUAGCGAACACAAUUCCUCGAUCCGGCUAAGCGAAACUAGACAUUCCUUACUAGGGAAGGGAGAGAGCAGCCCACGUACGGACUAACGAGCGCCCCCCUUUGUGAUGGAGGACGACAAGCGAGUGGAGGACGAGGAUGCGGACGAGGCGGAGGGCCCUUUUGCACUCUCAGGACAAAAGGGGGUUCCUUAAGGCGGUAAGCGCUUGCCAUUUCCUCCAUGAUUAGCUUUCGAGCGAAUCGAAGGUCGCAUUGGCUCGGGCUUGUCACCAAUUGAUCCAGUGAUCGGACAGUGACAGCAUCAGGAAUUCAGGAUUCAGAGCACUGAUGGUGUCGGUCGAUACCUGAUCGACCUAUCGAUCCCAAGCAAGCAAGCAGGUGGUAUCCCGGUGCACGGAGGUGAUCCGCGGGCCCGGGGCAGAUUGUGCGUGAUGGCGUGGAUGAUGCAUCGGGUGCGUGAUCGCGAGAUGCUCUGGCGGCCUGGCUACUUCCGGAGCUGAAAAGGGUGCGCGUGGGGGCGGCCGGGCGACCAUCGUGUGCUCUCGGAGCCAUAGCUACCAUAGAUAGCAAGCUCGGGGCAUGACUCGUCGUGACGGCAGUAGGUGGAUGCACCAGACACUCAAGGUGUCUAUUCCAUCCCAGUUCGUUUUGGCGCCGCGGGCUUGUAGAUGCGCUCGAAUCGAAUCGGUGCUGAUCCUGAACCUCUGCUCCGCUGAAGUCUUACAGUAAGGGCACUUGGUUGGUGGGACCACCUUGUCAGUAUUACAAGCAGACGCGGAAUAGUCAAAACUCAAAAGCCUCCACCGGCUCCCGUUGGCCAAGUCGGGUCCAGCCAGCAGCCCGAUGAGGCCCAGCAGGCCUGUACCAUCUCGGCCCGUGCAUGACAGCGGCUGCCGACCGAGGAUUCAUCCCAAACGCUCCUGAUGGUGCUUUGUGCGGUCGCAAAGUUGCCACGGGUUUCCACUCUAGGAUUAAGCUGUUCUCGUCGUUUUACACGGUGGCUUCGGUAAGCACACACAACGCAUACCGGGACAACAAAAGGAGUGCUGGGGGGAGAAAAAAAAUACACAUUUCUUCUUCGAGAAAGGAGAAAAAGGAAGCCAGCUUUGAGCCAAAGAACGACUAUAACAAGCACAUCACGACCAGCACAGUUCACAGACACUUCAGUUAUUGAGCAACCAGCAGCUGAGAACAAGAACAGCAUGUAGCACUACCACGAACAACACAUUGGGCGAAAAGAAAUUCACACCGUCAUAGACUAAUAUUUUUUUAGAUGAUGAGCUCGUAAGUUAGUUAACUAGCUAGCAGCUGGCAUUUCUGAGUUCUGACGACAGGCUGCCCGCGCCCAGCCGGGGAGCUUGUCGAGGCGCACGUUUUUGGUGGCGACGGCGAGCGCGGCCACGACGCCGACCCAGACGGCGAGGUCCACGGCCAGCGAGGUGCGCUGCUACGACGCCAGGAACGUGAGCACGAGGCUAGCGUAGGCCACCAGAACGCGCCCCGCACGAGGCGCGACUUGGGGGGCACCCCCGUGAGCAGCCCCACGGUGAGGAGCGUGGAGGCGCCGAACGCCACCCAGCUCCCCGCCAUGAACAGCCAGUACCGCCGUCCGUACUUGUCCCGCAUGAUCGGGUCGCCGGCGGCGUGCCCCGCGGCGUCGUCCUGCCAGUACCCGCCCGGGAUGUUGGUCCCCAGCUGGUAGGACAGCCCCGAGAUCAGCGUCGGCACCACCAGCAGCGUGUCCCUGGUGUUCGUCGCGAAGUCCGGCGCAUGCCCGCCGCCGCCGGCGGCGUUCUGCAGGCGAUGGUCGCCGCCCUGCUGCCGCUGCUGGUCUAGCUCUGACCCCGGCAUUUGGACGUGGACACCAUUGCCGGCGGCGUACAUCUCUCUUGCUCGCAGCCCUCCGCGUGCCCAAAGUGCAAGAUUUCUCUAAGUACUCCUAGCUAGUCGAUCCAGAGGCCUCUCGGCGAUGUUCUUGCGAGCAUCUUAAACCUUGCGGGCACAUUUAUAUAGGCGGACAUGGGUGAUUGUUCCCCUUCGUUUCUGCCCAUGUAUAGUAAAGUAAUUUCUUCGAAGGACGCAGUAAGCGCCACUUGACACUGGACUUGAGAGGUCAAGUGGUUGUCUGACAGCCCUGGUACUCUCUCUGAGCAGCGAACACCGAAGACCCUGGCAAGUCCAUGUCUACUCAUUCAUACCCUCUCGCCGCUUCCGUUUAUCUGUGGCUAGCUUCUCUGUUCUCGCUCUCCUUGUUGGUCCUCGUGAAGCACAUGCCAUUCAGUAAACAGAGAUUGUGAAGUAACAAUGCUGUCAAGUGAAACCUAAGAAUUUCGCAAAAAAGAAGUGAAGCCUAAGAAAAUGAGAGGAAUCUGUCACUGUGAGUUACUAGAUGCUAUGGAAGUUCAUUUCCACUUUCCCAGUGUCGGCAAAGCUGCAGAAAUUUACACAUUUACGGGCGGUGCCUUGCUUGGCUGCUUGUAUCAUUCAUUCAUUAGGUACAUAUAGGUCUAGAAUUACUACGUUAACAAGAAUCUACGGGAUUUGACCGCCCAGGUUGGGCUGCUACGGGAGCAUUAUUUUUUUUUUGAGUCUUAUGCCAAUUUCCGCAUUUGGGCACGCCAGCACUUGAGGCUCAUCCAAAGUCGAAACGCUGGGGCUGGUGUCAGUCAACGGUCUAUAUUUAUUUGGCUUGGGAAUAAAAUGCACAGGUGUCUCUCGAACUUGGCUUGUAGCAUAGAUCUAGAUUUUUAAACUUGUUAAACAUAUCAAAUGAGAUCUAAAUCACCAUAUUUUAAGUUAAAGUGAAAGUGUUUCUACCGACGGGGAGCUUACACAUGGAUCCAAAUUUUAUUAUUGAUUUUUUUGCUAAACUCUUAUAUUUUCUAAAUUUACUUCAAAAUUUUGUUUCAAAACUUUAUGCCUGAAAUUUUUUUCAAUGUUUCCUCCAAAAUUUAUCCUUUUUUAUUUUAUCUUUUUUACCUAUUUUGUGAUAUGGGUUUCGUUUUCGUAUAAUCUUUAUAUACAGAUUUUUUGUAUUUGAGUAUAUUUAUUCAAGCAAGUUUGUUAUGAUAUUUUUGCAUUUAUACAUUUUGUAUAUAAUUUUAUAUUUGAAUAAAUUAUAUAAUUUUAGAUUUAUUUUAAGCAAUUGUGAUUUGAACCUCACAUGAUACGAUUAGUAAGUUUAAAGAUCUAAAUAUGUAUUUUAAAAAUUUGAAGACGUAGAUAACAUCCUCGAAUACUCGAGUUCAAGUAGGGUGAGCACGACCGUGACAACGACCCAGAUGACGAGGACCAUUGCCAGCGACGUGCGUGGCUGUGACGUCACGAACGUGAGCACGAGGCUGGAGUACGCCCACCGCCUACCACGAACGAGCUCAGCACGAGCCGCCGCGGCGUGGGCGCGCCCGUGAGCGGCCCCGGGUGAGCAGCAUCGAGCUGCCGCCAUGAACAGCCAGUACCGCCGCCGGUGCUCAUCCCGCAUGAGCGGGUCGUCGGCGACGUGCCCAUUGUCCUCGUUCUUGGUUGCUUGAUGGUUUCCCUGAAGACCUGAAGUGUGUGCCAUUCAGCAAUGCACACGACCUGUUUGAUAAUAAUACUGUCAACUGGAGACUUCAAGUGGAACCUAAGAAAUUGAAAAUGAAUCUGUGAGACUGACGUAGAUUCUAUGGAAGUUCUUGUUCAGUGCCUGAAAAACCUGAAGAUCUUCACGCGUCGUCAUGGUUGCUGCCUGGUCAGCCGCCGGUCCGCCCUCCUAUCCCUGCCGCGUGCGCUAGACGACGCGCGCGCACGGCCCGAGCGCCCGAGCCCGACGACCGCACGCCGCGUCCUCGUACCGUCGUGUCGUCCUUGGCGUGGGCCCUGCCGCCCGACCGGGACCCUCGGCAAAGCUUUCGGCGUGUUGCUGCUUGGUCGCCCGCGAUAGCUGCCAAUGGCGGCACGCCGCGGCCCGGCCGCCGGGCCGGAUUGCUUCGCACGCUCCAAGAUGUGUUUUGCUCCGAGCUGCUGGCCGAGGAUUCAUCCGAAAUGCUCAAUGGCGGAUUGUGAGGUUGCAAAGUUGCAACUGGUUUCCACUCCCCACUCCGGAUAGGUUGUUCUCGUCGUUUUACACUAUGGCUUUGGCAAACAAACACAACAUACCGGGACAACAAAAAGAAUGCUGGAGUGGGAAAAAAAAGACACUACUAUACAUUUCGCCCCAAGAAGAAACAAACACCCUGUACUUAUUGAUUGAGCAACCAGCAGCGGAGAACGAGAACAAGAACAAGGACAACAACUACCACCACACCCUUUUUAACAGAACAUUAGGCAAAAAAGAAAAAAAAAUCACACUGUUACUAGUACAAGCUCACGGUGCUACGGUGGGAUUAACGACCCAGCAGCUGACGAAAAGCUGCCUGCGCCCACCUGGGGAGCCUGUCGAGGCGCAGGUACGAGGUGACGACGGCGAGCGCGGCCAUGACGCCGACCCAGAUGGCGAUGUCCAUGGCGAGCGAGGUGCGCGGCUGCGACGUCACGAACGUGAGCACGAGGCUGGAGUAGGCCACCAGGAACGCGCCCCGGACGAACUGGGACCUGGCGGGCACCCCCGUGAGGAGCCCCACCGUGAGCAGCAUCGAGCUGCCGAACCCGGCCCAGCUCGCCGCCAUGAACAGCCAGUACCGCCGCCGGUGCUUGUCCCGCAUGAUCGGGUCGCCGGCGGCGUGCCCCGCGCCGUCGUCCUGCCAGUACCCGCCCGGGAUGUUGGUCCCCAGCUGGUAGGACAGCGCCGUGAUCAGCGUCGCCACCACCAGCAGCGUCCCCGCGUCGUUCGCGUCGAAGUUGGGUGCGUGCGGGCCGCCGCCGCCGCCGCCAGCAUUCUGCGGGGGGUUGUCGCCGCCCGGCUGCUGGCCCAACUCCACCAUCAGGACGUGGUCGCCGUUGCCGGCGCCGUCGUCCAUCCAUCUCGCUCGGAGCUCCGCGCGUGACCAAAUUAAAGCGCAAGAUUUCUAGGUACCCGCGCGUGACCAAAUUAAAGCGCAAGAUUUCUAGGUACUCUUCCUGCGCGCUUCUUGAACCUUGCGCGCACAAUUAUAUAGGACUAUGUGAGGAGCUUGGUGACUCCCUUGUUGCUUCCCAUGGAAGGUAGUACUAGUAGUGAAGUAAUUUCCUACAAGGACGCGGGAAGCGCUAACUGAACUGCGAGUGCGAGUGGUUGACGGACCUGGUCCUCUGCUUCGGCAAGACCUAGGCGAGUCCUCGUCAAGUCUUUUCUCCACCGCUGUCUUGAGACCUCUGUUUAUCCACGGGCCAUGGAUAUACCCUCUUUGUUCUUGCUUGCUUUGUUCAGCAAUACGGUUUCCGUGUUGUGACAUAACAAUACUGUCAAGUGGAACCUAGGGCCUGUUUAGUUACCAGCGCAAAAACGCAAAAAAGCUGUAAACGUAGGAAUCUUACUAAUUUGAAGUACUAAAUGAAGUCUAUUUACAAAACUUUUUGCACGGAUGGGCUGUAAAUCGCGAGACGAAUCUAAUGAGCCUACUUAAUCCAUAUUUUGCAACAGUGAUGCUACAGUAACCAUCCGCUAAUUAUUGCUUAAUCAUGGAUUAAUUAGCAUCAUUAGAUUCGUCUCGCGAUUUACAACCCAUCUGUGCAAAAAGUUUUGUAAAUAGACUUCAUUUAGUACUUCAAAUUGACAAGAUUCUUUUGCAAAAAAUUUUUUUGCGUUUAUGCGUCCUGAUCUAAACAGGCCCCUAAGAAAUCGGAAAAGGAAUGCGUGCCUAUGGAAGUUCUUGCCCGCAAAGCUGAAUCUUACGCGUUUUCGGCUAUGUUUGGUACAGAUUGUGAACCAGCUUCUCAUCAAUUUUAAGUUGUGGGCUGCCCAAACGCUAGGCUUCUGCACCGCUUCCCCCGGCAACGCUUACCCACCUCCUUCACAAAACGCGCGUCGGUGAGCAGCGGGAACGGUCCAGCUUCUGCGGCUUCCGCCCCACGCGCCGGCCUCCGCCCUCGCGCCUCCGCCUCCGCCCCCCGCCCCCGGCCUCCGCCGCCUCCGCCCUCUGCCCCCGGCGCCUCCGCCCCGCCCCCGGCCGCCGCCUCCGCCCCCCGCCCCCGGCGCCUCCGCCUCCGCCCCCGACGCCGCGCCUCCGGCGCCGGCCCCCGCCCCCCGCGCCGGCCUCCGCCCCCCGCCCCCCGCGCCGGCCUCCGCCCCCCGCCCUCGGCGCCGGCCCCCCGCGCCCUGCGCCGGCCUCUGCCUCUUAAUUGUAUGAUUAAUUGUAUCAUUAUCUUAUUUAAGAGUAAUUUACGAUUAAUUUUAUAAUAUAUUAAUUGUUAAUAAUUUAUGAACAAGUUUCAGCUGUGCCAAACAGGGCCUGUGACCAGCUGCUUCUCUGGCCAGCUAGCCACCAGCUGGCUUCUAAAUAAGUUUCUGUUGUGCCAAACAGGGCCUUCGUGCCGCUGCCCGGUGCCCUGGUUGUAUCAUCCAGUCGUUUUUGGAUGAUUACUGUAUGGGUCAUUUUCGCGGAAUAAAACUUGAGUUGAAUAUUAGUUAUACAAAACUGUUCUUCAGAAAGAGCAAUAUAGUCAGAUAAGUUUGUAGUAUAACUUUGUCUCGCGAGUUAGUUCAAUUUGAACGGCAUUCCUUCAUUACAAGCCCUUCUUUUCUAGAAUACGUAAGAGAGGUCUUUCAUUUAAGAAAGAAAACUUCAAAAGGUACGGUGAACUAAAAAACAGAACAGUCAGCACCACACCAUAAUCGCGCUUGCUGUUGGUUAGACCAAAGGAACUUAGUUGGAUUUAAUCCCCACUUUGUCAGGGUUCAUAUUGUCCUACUGAUUAAAACAAUUCAAUGUGGCCUAGUGCCCAAGCAGAAGGAUGAAAAAUACAGUAAUAGGUUAAUAAGUUUGGGUCAGUCUCAAUGUUUUUGAAGAAUGACCAUUUCCUAAAGAUUACUGAACAUGUCCAUGGCUUAUUGUAUAUGAAUCGUGCAAAAAGAGGUAAGUUAAAGUUAUGUUACUAGCAAAACUUCAACUGCAUAUAACUUUUCUAUGGUAAAUAUGAUGGUAGUGUAAUUGUACCAAAUACAGAGGAAAUGAAUAUUAUUGGAAUUUCGUGACAUCACACAUGUGGUCAUCUUUCACGGAAAUUUGUGGCCGGUUAACAUGUUUAAAUGGAUUUGUAUGCCAGAUACCAAAUCGUCAACUCAAACAUCACCAGUUACCUAAUGACAGCUUCUCACUUUCAAUUUCUCCACUAUGCCGCCAGUUUCCUUUAAGCUUUGACUGCAAUUCAGCACGCAUCGUCAUUCCGUUUGUGGGCUGGUUUACUUUGUUGAGGCCCACGGCCCAUGCCUCUCCUAAACCUCUCUUCUACCCCGGGGCUUCGUCGGCGCGCCUCCUCUCAACCAGUCGAUCCCCAUUCCCCCACCGCCGCCGCCCUCCGAGAAAGGGAGGAGUCGAUGAAGUGCAGGGACCAUCAUAGUCGGCAGAUGCCCCUUUUGUGCAUAUGAAGCGUACUCGUGGUGCAUAUGUUGUACGGAAACAAAAAAGUGGUGGUGUUUCAAGGUUCCUGAAGUUGUAGGAGCCUCGGAAGACUUUGUCAUGCUGAGGGCUUUGUUGGAGCUGCGGUGGCUGGCUUUGGCACAAAUUCAACAGUGCCCCGUUCUGUAGGGUCUUGUCUGGGAGGGCUUGAGCUCAGGCCUGACGUCGAUGGAAACUCAAGUUCUGGUCCCAAACAGGUGGUGGUGCUGGUGCAACGGCCAAGCCAAGCUUGUUUCUUGUCACUCGAGGUUAAGCUACUACCGUAGUACGCGAGACAUAUUGACGGCGUGCCCUCUCACGAGUCACGCGAAUAGGAACCACUGUCUUUUCCACCGUUCUGGGAGACUGAAACUUCCUCCAUGUGUAUGCUUGUUAAGCUGUAACAUGGCUCGCACAAAGCUGUAGCCUGUAUGCUACAGAACUUUCUCACCACCAUGGCAGCUGCUAGCUUCGUGUCAUGAGAUAGCAAUGCUGCGACGAGACAAGGAGCACCACGGGCAGCGGUUGCACGAUGCUCGCGCGCCGCGAGGCCGGGCAUCCGCAGUCUGUCACGCAACGUGCAACGGUGUUCUAGCGGAAGUUGUGGGAGAACGGAGCGCCUGGGCGAGGUGCCGGCGAACAGGCAAAGGCGCAGAGGCACGGUCACGUUUCGGGCACGCCGCACGCGGCGGGGUUGUGGCCUGUGUGGGUCGGGGUUGGUCCCGGCUCGCGGGACAACGCAUGGUCGGCGAGCGGCGCGGCGACAGGGACGGCCGAGCCGGGCUGUUCCCAGCGCGGGAGGUAGGCUCCCGGCUCCGCUGCCGCUUUUCCCGGACUCGGGCUCCCGGAGGCCGGAGCUCCCUCACCGACCGCACCAAACACACAGCUACUGCCAUCCGCCAACCUGUACGCCCCCGCGCCCACGUCUCGUCGGCGGCGUCCGGUAGAUCUGCGGGCAGGAUGUACACGGACCCGUGCGCACGUGCCACGCACGACCAAUUCACACAGUCACAGGCUCACAGCGGAUGAAACCAGGACCGAGGACUGGGUGGAUCCGGGUCAGCGUUGCGGCCUCGGUAGCAGCGAUUUCUCGCAGAAUCAUAAACCGGCACGGUCAGUGCCAGUCUCGACGCUCCGAAAGGACACAAGCCGGGCGGAUCUGAAGGGGGCUAUGGGGAUAAGUCCUUCUAUCUUCCCGAGAUCGAUGAAUAUCCUCCUGACCUCCUUCUCUAUUUUAGAACAAAGAAUGAAGAAGAAGAAAGGAGGAAGAAGAAGAGAAGGGAAGGUAGAAAGAGAGAAGGACCCUCUCUUCUCCCUUAGCUGCUGUCGCAGAAGAGAAUCGCAAACCCUGCUGUGCAUGGAAGGCUCUUUGCUUUUCACAAAUCUGGAAGACUGGAACACGUACACAGUGUGAUAGCACUUGUAUUGUUAGAAAAAAAAAGAAGAGAAAAGGUGAUGAAAUUUUUAUGUUGAAAGAAAUUUAAAAAAGAGUAUAACAUUUGUUUGCACAGUUCUGAAAUAUUCGGUCAAAAGAUGCUGCGAGCCUGCAGCCCGCAGAGGGCGAAUUUUGGAGGACGAAAUGGCCCGUCCGCGAGCGAAAAGCUGAGCUCUGAAGAAAAGAGAGCCCUGCGCGUGAUUGGCACGGCGAAUGCUGCCUCUGCAUCGUGCCCGUGCCCGUGCCCUUUUCUUUCCUGCGACUUGCUGUCCGGCGACCCUUUUCAUUUCAAACGGUGGGAAAGGUGAAAGUAAAAAACAUGGGCGAAACAAUUUGAAUUCGCAUGUUCCCACGGCGUGAAAAAUGCAAUAAGUCUGUAUAGUAUUAUACUUGAUGUUUUCACCUUUUUUUCCCUCCAGUGAACCUGGCACAGAUUUCUUCAGUUUCUCGUUCCAUGGUACUGAAAUGUGUUCGGCGAAAAUGGAUUUGUGAAAUUCAGAUAGUAACAGGGUCUGUCUGACGGCACCUGCAAAUUCAGAGAGCUCAUGCAUGUCAGCAGUAGUACCGGCACAAAUUUGUAGGUAUGCAGGCCAGGGACUCAGACUUCAAAGUGGAUCUUUCCAUCUCAAAUAAAAAAAAGGGAAAAAAAAGGAACGAUUGGAUCUUUGUAUGAACAUGUCCCAUGUGUCCUACGACACUUGUAUGAUCCAAACGAUAGUUUAAUCGAACCACGCUUCCGGGAUUUUCAUUUGCACAUGCGUUCGGGGUACCGGACAGGGCUUGGAAAGGUGUUGCCAGUCUGAUUUACUUCAUCGGUGAAUUGGUUUGCAGUUGCAUUGCUUGUGCCAGGCAAGUGCCGCUCAUAAACAUAGGAAAAUGGGAGUGCAUCCUCCACAUUUCAGUAUUUCACCACUGGCUGGAGGUGAUAAACUGCUGAUUUCCUACUGAAGCGUUGAUCUAUCAAGCGGUGAAAUGGAUAUAGUAUUAUUCAUGAAUCCCCAUCCCCCAGGAGGCAAAAAAAUAACAUAAUGAAUUCUGCAACUUUGGGUCUUCUGUGGGGCAUGUCGGGUAACAUCUGUGGGACUACUUUUUUUUUGGAAUAAUAAUGUCUAGGUUCCUUAUAUACUUUAUUAUAGAAAUUUCAAUGCAGGUAUGUACCGUGAAAAACACGUGAUUCUGUUUUAUUAUUUUACAUAACACCGUAUUUUGCAUUUCAAAUCAAACAUGGCAUAAUCCACUUUCUAUAAUGCAAAAACGCGCGAAAACUUUUGGUAGAUUAUGUGCACUAUUAAAAUCAACACUGAAUAAAAGAAGUGGACCGCAAGAAUCACAUGAUGAUUAUAUGGAAAUUAUGUUUUGAGCAACUUAAUCAUGUAACAAGUUUACUCUUAGGUUUUUGAUAAAGCCUACUCGGAUGUCCAAAUUCCAUCGAGUUGUAAUUGCAUGUAUGGUACUUCUUUUUAUUCUUCCUUCAUCCCUCCAUAAGUUAGAUCCAGAAUGUUUCUAUUACUUUGAUUUUUGGCUACAAUGAAGAUCUCCAUUGGUUAUAAUUCAGUUGCUUCAACUCUUUUUUAGCUUUGCCCUAAUUUCCUAUAGAUAAUGUGUUUUCUUUUCUAUAUUUGGCACUACUCUGUUUGUAGCAAACACUUCUACCUACAUGCCAGUUUUAAACCAAUUAUCAAAAUUCACGGUGUUGUAUGCUCACCACCUUCUAUAGUAUUUUGUGGUACUAACCUGUCAUCCAGGGAGAACCUAUCUGGCAGUGACAAAAGGCAAAAGAAUAAAUAAUUGAAUAAGUUAAUGUAUGAUCACAUAAAUGGCCCAUUGACAACUUUCUCAAAUCAAUGACACUCUCUCUUCUCAUUUUCUCUCUUUUAGCUCAUAAUAAAUCUAAUGUGGAGAUAGCUGACUUGUUAUUGUUGGAGGAGAUCUAAAUGUGUCCAUGGAAUUUGUACUGAGAAAGACACCUUGAGUUUUUUAAAAUAGCGCCCACUACCUCCAAAGCUCAAUUUAAGAGUCCAACCAACCCACAGGGUGGCCACAGGGGUGUGACCGCAGAAACGCUGGCCUCCUGGCCUGGCCUGUCAUCCGCCGCUCCUCUGGAACCUGCACACUGCACACCUCCCAACUCGUCAGUCCUCACAGUCAUCACGCUCCCGCUACCACGCCUCCGACGAUCAAAAGCUCCGGUUUUGAUUCCUCCUCUGGUCCUCACCCACCUUUCUCACCUCCUUUCCCUGUUAAUUUUAUCCUCCGUGUCCCCUCCUCUCCAGGAAACUUAAUCGGAUCUCUCUGAGCUCUUGGUCAAUCGCUCGCAUUUCUUUACUAAUCGCCACUUCUCGGAGAGAUUAGUUUUUAAUGGCGCUUAUUAUGAAGUGUUUUGAAUUAAACCUCCGAGAAACAGAGGGAAGCUAGAGAGCCUCUAGAGGCCAGAGCCAAGAAGAACACGCUCAGGUACGCCGGACGCGAGCUCCGAUACCUCCUCGGAUUCCCUACGUGCUGCCGCGGGAGAGGGGAGAGAGCUUCCCGUUUCAUCAUCAUCUAUCACAUCGCAGGAGUGCUGCAGCACUCAAGUCUCCACUCUCCACUCCCCCAGUUCGUGCUCACUUCUAUUGUCGGGGGCGGCGGCGGCCGCCGCCGCGGUUCGUGCUGCUCCGCGGCGGCUUCUUGGUCCUAUCUCCGUCUGUAGCGGGUUCCUCCGUGCGCGUGUCUGGAAAGGAAGGAAGAAAGGGCUCUUCUUUGAGGACAAAAUCAGGUGGUGAUCUUCUCUUCCCUUGCUGAUUUUGUUCCCCUUUUUUCCUGUACUGUUGUUGAGAUUACGAUGUCGCCAUCUGUUGCGUUCUUUUGGAGCCUUGCGGCCUUUCCUGCUCGUGACUUUCUACCAACUGAGGUUCCUCUACAAAGGGGUGGCAUUUUAGCCGACAAACGGCGGAUGAAGUGUUCUUGAAGCCUUGUUCACAUGGUGCCUGAAGGAACUUCUAGGUGUUCAUUGAUCUCUGCCCUUGUUCUCUGAUGUUUCUAGUUUGAAGGGGCAUUCACAGUUCUCUGUUGUUCUGCCCAUGGUGGUUUAGUUCGUGAGAUUUUUUAGUGUAGGUUUGAAUUGUUCAUGAAUGUGUGGCGAUAGAAAUUGGGGAUCUUUUGCCCAUUUAUUAGCAGCAAAAGGUUUUGCCCAUAAUUCGGGGUGACAUUUUAAGUCGUGGAUUCAUUAGUUUAAAGACGUUAGCUCCACUGGACAAGUUUAUGGGACUGCCUGAAUAUCCUGUAAUGUAGUACCUUAAUGUUUUCUAGGCAUAUAUGCAAUUCUCUAGUUAAGAGUUGCUACAUACAGUAGUUUGUGUUCUUGUUAAAUGAACAAAAUAUUCACCUUUUUUUGUUGCUAUUUCAGCUUUGCUUGAGAGCUUCCGGAGUGUACCUUCUUCUCAGCUAAUCAGAUCCUUGGGUGCAACAAUAUGUCGCCCAAGCGACCACAGGGCGUGGUUAUGUUGUUAAUGCUCAUGGUUUUCGAUGUUUCAGGUACUCCGGUUCAUCAUAUUAGUUUGCAGUACCUAGAUAUGGUUUUAAACUACCAUAUCUUCAAACCAUAGAUAUGUUUCUAGGAUGAGUAGUGCAAAAAUUAUACUUCUGACUAUAGAACUAUGGUGGUGCAAAAAUCAUACUAUGUUCUACAUAGAUGUGCAAAAACAUUAUUUUCCGUAUUGUAGUACCUCAUUCUGAUUUUCCUGACUGUGUGGGAAACUAGUUUCACAAGGACAUUACAAAAUGUUGUUUUGAACUGAAAAAUAGGUUCUAAGAAUAUAUUGCCUAUAUUUGCAUGCAUGACAAUCAUCUCUGCAAUUUGUUGUAGGCGCAUUUGUUGGUAUCACUAUUGGCAAUGAUAUGUCAAACCUACCAUCAGCAACAGACAUAGUGGCUAUCCUUAAAGAAAAGAAGAUUCAACAUGUUCGUCUGAUUGAUUCAAACCAUCAGAUGUUGACUGCCCUUGCAAAUACUGGAAUAGAAGUGAUGGUUGGGGUUCCCAAUGAUCAGCUACUUCGUGUGGGGCAGUCUCGUUCCACAGCUGCUGAUUGGAUUAACAAGAACGUCGCUGCUUAUGUUCCAGCAACUAACAUCACAUAUAUCGCAGUGGGUGAUGAGGUUCUUACUAACAUUCCAAAUGCAGCCCUUGUUCUUGUACCUGCAUUGCAAUUCCUCCAAUCAGCACUGUUGGCUGCAAACCUCAAUAAUCAGGUGAAAAUCUCGAGUCCACAGUCAAUGGAUAUGAUCUCAAAGGCAUUUCCUCCCUCCACUGCCACUUUCAAUUCGACAUGGAACACAAUAAUGUCUCAGUAUCUUCAGUUUCUGAAGGAUACAGGAUCUUCAUUCAUGCUGAAUGCCCAACCAUACUAUGGCUACGUCGGAGGGCAAGGCGUAUUCCCCUUAGAGUAUGCACUGUUCCGCUCACUCAGUCCCAACAGUCAAAUUUCAGAUCCCAACACCAAUCUGUUCUAUACCAAUAUGUUUGAUGCAAUAAUUGAUGCUACUUACAACUCAAUCCAAGCAAUGAAUUUCACGGGGAUUCCUGUUCUGGUCACAGCUUCUGGCUGGCCAUGGCGUGGUGGGCCAAACGAGAAGGCUGCUACUGUUGAUAAUGCUUUGGCCUACAAUACAAACCUCGUACGUCAUGUACUGAAUAAUUCUGGUACACCCAGCCAACCAAUGAAUCAGUCCAGCACCUACAUCUUUGAGCUAUUCAACGAGGAUCGUCGGUCAGGACCUGUAUCAGAGAAAAGUUGGGGGAUUAUGUUUCCUAAUGCAACCACUGUGUACUCUCUAUCGUUUGAGGACGUGGCCACAACUAUCCCAGAAUCACCAGCUCUGCGUGGGAUGUUUUGUGUGGCAAAUUCAAGUGCACCCCAUAGUGCACUUAAGCAUAGUUUGGAUUGGGCAUGUGGCCCUGGCUCUGCAAACUGCAGUGCGAUUCAGCCUGGGCAACCAUGCUAUGAAUCAGAUAAUAUAGUAGCUAUUGCAUCAUAUGCUUUCAACGAUUAUUAUCAUAGAACACAAGCUAGUGGUGGUACAUGCAGCUUCAAUGGCACUGCAAUGAUAACAUCUACUGAUCCAAGUAAGCUGCAUUUUGCUCUUCUAUAAUUAAUAGGAUACAGUAGAUUUUUUUUGCACAAUUAUCGAUUACUUUGAAUGGGUUUCUUUAAUUACUUUUGUAGUUUUGUUGGCAAAUAAUUUAUAGUUGCCCUUUACAUCAGCGCUAAACCGACGUUUGAGAAGACCAAAUUUAGCACUGAAAUGUUUGAAGGGCUCAAGGUCCUUGUUAUGCAAAAUUUAACCCACCAAUUAUCUACCACAGCUGUUUUGAUCUGUGAUUUUUAUUGCACAAAAGCCCUAAUGUACUUCUGUUUUACUAUCAUUAGUCAAGAGUUCUACACUUGUAGCUAGCCAGCACUCAAUCUCUUGUUGAUCUGUUAUUGUGUUCCCACCAGCAAUGAGACAGUCCUAUAAAUGUACCCUACCCUGGAAAGCAAGCCCUACUUGUGCAAAUUUCUGUAGGGAACAUGUAAAUAAGCUGGCAAGCAUUUACCUUAGAUGUGUGUCCCAUUAGGCUAAGAGCCUAAGAUAAACCAUAUGAAGGGAUGUGGGGGUUAGUCAAACGAGGGUCAUAGCUCGAGCUGUUACAUCCUAUCAAAAGCAUAAGCAUUGUCCAAAUCACAAUACAAGAUAAAUAAUCUAUGGCCACAACAAGUUUCAUUAUCAUCUUGUGUUUUAUUUUAAUUUCAAGAAAUGUGUUUCUAGUUUAAAGAACUCACUUUUUUAUCAUUUUAAUUUAAUUUCAAGAAACCAAGGGUAGGAUUUUGUUGCUAAUAUCAAACCGUCGUAUAGCAUGUAAAUAACAUGAGCCUAAUCUGAAUUCGUGUAUUUCUUGCAGGCCAUGGCUCAUGCAUUUUCGCUGGAAGGUAUGUCCAAUGCACCAUUUCGUGUUAAAAGCUUCUAAGUUCUAUAAGCCUGUUUUGUGCUCUAUACUGAGAAUGUGACUUGCUCCUGUUUGUAGCACUGGCGCCAACGGCAGCGAUGGUGGUACAGCCUCCGGGCCUGUGAGCCCUGACAGUUUUGCUUCGAAAUCCCAAUCCUGCUGGUUGACUCACCUAGUAGCUGCAGUGCUGCUCAUUGUAGUGAUGUAAAACAUUGCAACCAUGUCGCAUUUUGGAUGAGAUACCCGUCAUUUAUCGUGGAUCUUGUCAUUAGAUACUGUAGGGGCGUAUUUGUUUUAGUGUACUCAUGUAGACGCCAUGUAAUCUUAUCCCCAAAUUUGUUGUCCUAGGAAUCAACAUUGCUAGCUGUGACAAGCAGCUUAUCUGGAAUGAUGGAAGUUCCAAUUUCCAAAUGAUCUGUACCCCCUGCAUAUGGUUUAAGUGGUCUGCUGCUGUUGUCUUUUUUUUUUCCUUUUCAAUUUUAGUGUUUUCGAACACUCGGCCUCACCGGAAAUGGCUUUGUUGUGGUUUGGACUUGAGGAAAAAAAUUGAUUCGUCGCGAGUGACUAACGGCCCAGUCAGGCCCAUAUUAACCCACCACCAGGUCCAUUCUCAGUUACCGUAAUGGGCCUGCUCAAUGGGAUUUAAAGCCUCACCAGGAUGGCGAGCCGGCCCACACGCUUUCACCCUCUGUCACUGCCGGCUGUCGCUGCGGCCAAUCGGCCAUGUCCUCGUCCUCGUCCUUCCCCGCCUCUCGCUUCCCCUUCGCCGCCGGCGGCGGGGCCCCCGGCGGCGGCGGCGGAGGAGGAGGUGGGAGCAGCUUGCGGCCGUGGGGGUCGAGCGGCGGGACGUCGGUUUCGUCUUCGGGGAAGCGGAUACAGAAGGAGCUGCUGGACCUCAACGCCUCCGACUGCUCCGCCGGGCCCAAGGGCGACAACCUCUACCACUGGCUCUCCACCAUCAUCGGGCCCCAAGGUAUGAGCUCCCUCCCCUCCGCUUCUCCAAUUGGUCGGAGACAGUUGAGAGCUCGUCGAAAUUUAACUGCGCUGGCGGAUGACAGUUUUACUUGUUCAAAUUGCUGCUUCUAUUUUUAGUGUAGGAGCAGAGUUUGGUUUGUACACUAACUGGGCUCACGAGUACGUCGCGGUUGAGUUAACGCAUCAUGUUAUGUCUUCAGGAUCGCCGUAUGAAGGAGGGAUAUUUUUCCUUGAUAUCGUGUUUCCCCCUGAUUAUCCUUUCAAACCUCCAAUGGUAAGGAUUCACAUUUCUUGUUAGCAUGUUCUUCUGGUUAACAUUGGUCUGCUGAAGUGUGGUGGGAAUCUUUGUUUAGUACAGAAACUUUUUGUGUCCUCAAAACUAGGCUCCAACCUGACAUUUCUCCACUUCUUGUUAUGUAUACCUUCCACCUAAUCCCUUGAUUCCUGGUUCGUGUACUCUUUUUGAAUGUACAAGUUUCAAGGAAUGUAUAUCACACCUGGUUGUGGUGACUAUUACUGCCGAAGUACUAGAAAGUAUUUUUAACAGAAAAUCAAGUGGGCAGUCAGAUCAGUUUGGCUGGUAAUAUUGUUCCAGUUCUAAUUCUGAUUGUUUUGCUCUUGGGAUCCUUAAUUUACUCAUCCAUGCAAACAGAGGGUUAUCAGAGCGAUGAACUUUAGUAUGCUUUAUAAAAUGCAUAGUGUCAGCUGUCCUGAAGCCUCAUAUCCCCAAAUUUUCUACAGCCUGGCUAUCACAAUACGGGCAAAUGUGAUUUUGAAACAGUAAUUUACGAAGAUUUUCUUUGGCCUAGAGAAAGAAAAGUACAUUCAGCUAUCUGUCUUGGAUGAAGGUUAAUCUAGAAGUGCCACACGACCACACCACUGGCAGGGAGGCAUGUGUUUGAUGACGAAGAGUGGAACUAAUAUGAAAACGAUUAUGCUAAAGACAGUUUUCUUUGCUGCUAAUUAAAGUUACCUUGUUUCUUCUAAAGAGGUUUUUGUACCUUUUCAUGUGAAGUACUGAUUUGUGAUGUUUUAUGUCUUCUUAGUAUGAUUUCGACAUAUGAAGAAAAACUAUCCUAAGUUUCUAGUUUACUGUUGUUGUUUUUUUAAAGAAAGAAAGAAUGCAGAGCUGCUAAGGUAUUGUUUUUGUUCUGGCUUGCUUCAAUUAAUACUUUUAAUACUUCCCUGAGCAAAAGAUACGGUAAAAUUAUUUUUAUUCAGGGACAGCCUUACUAUGGUAACAUGUACUUUUGACAUCACCUCUUAUCAUGUGGUGGCAUAUUGUUUAUCUUGGCUUAGAAUAUAAGAAAGUCUGGCAAUCUGCUAACUGAGGGAAGUGAGUCCACUCAUUCCUGUUAUUGAUAUUUAUUUGUCACUAUCCGGCUGCUAGCCAUAGCCAAAAUUACCACCGACACAUUUCUGGAGGAUGCCAACACCACCACCAUCUAUUUCCUAUUAUUACUUGCUGAGAUAUGAGGGACCAGAAACAGCCAGCCUCCGUUUUAGCUUUCCACCUACCACUCAAAACCUUCAGCGGCACAGUUUUACCCUGAUCAGCUAAUGAAACUAUCCGUGCAGCUAAUACAGGCCACGGCAACAAUCACACUAAAGCUGUUAAAGAUAUUAUAGUAUUAAAAAUAUUUUUGAAUGUUGCCCAUCCUAGCUUGCUUUGGACUAAAAGGUUUUGUUGUUUUUUUCUUGUGUUCUUGAAAUAUCGUUUCAAUGUUCUAUGAUGUGAUUAUCAGAUCUAUACUUAUGUAUGGUAUAUGUCUGUAGCGUUACAGUUACAGGCAAUGUUAAUCAUGACUUUAUAUGUCACAUGUUAAUAGUUGAAAGUUUUCACAAAUUAUUUUACUCUUCAAGCUGAAUCUAUUAAAAUUGAGUAGUUUGGAAUUGGACAAUUUAGCUUCAUAACUCCAAAUUUGUGUUAUGCUGGUAUUCUCCCAGGUAACUUUCAAAACAAGGAUUUACCACUGCAACGUUGAUGCCACUGGUAAAGUGCAUUUGGACAUUCUGAAGGAUGGCUGGAGUCCAGCUUUUACUAUUUCAAAGGUGUUGCUGGCCAUCAAAGACAUCAUCAGCAAUCCAGAUCCAUGUAUGUUCUUAUCACUUUCUGUACUACCUUAUGUAAACAGUCGUGGAUUCUGGUGCAAAUUAAGUCUACUGUCUAUAUAGUUUUACUUUGCUUUACUGCUCAAAAGCCUUAUGUUAUGAUCUUUAUUUGUGCAGACACCCCGCUUGUGAUGAACAUUUCACGUCAGUAUCUAACUGACAGAACUAAACACGAUGAAAUAGCAGCUGAGUGGACAAUGAGGUUUGCAAGAUAGAGAAUUCUGUCUGUAUCUAAGCAAUAUUGACCUUGUAAAAGAAUAAUCCUUAAUGUGGCCUGAGAUGUAGAAUGUUGGCAAAGGACCCACGUUUUGUUUAAUCUGAGUUGUGACAUAAAGAUGUACUUUAUGCUUGAGGUUAUCUAGUUGCUUCUUUUAGGUGCAGAAUUGUCUUUUUUGAUUUUGCAUUUCUGCCAAAGUUGCACAAGUAACUCUUCAGAACCUGCUAUCUGAGCUAAUUAGUUUCUCGAAAUUCUUUCUGUUGAAACUGGCAGCAGUUCCUAGUUGAGGAUGCCCGUUUCCUAUACUGAAAGCAAAAAUACCUAAGAUACUCGGAAAUGUUCAGUGACCGACAACUGUUAAUGUUACAAUUGUGCAAAUGAUCGAUUAAUUUUGUCCAGUCAAAGUAGUUAAAGCAUGUCAUUCAAAUCUUUCACUUGAAACCAAAUCCUGCUGGUGGUGUUGUUGGACAAGGCUUCAGUUACAAAGGUAUUUUCCCUUCCAGAACUUUGUCCCUAGUUCAUAGGUGUUUCUUGGACAGAAUAAAUGUCAUAUUGCCAUCCAACAAAGAAUGAUCAUGUUUUAAAAGCUAACUGCAGAACAAAGAUAUCAGAUGUUUACGGCAGAAUAAUGGUCACUUGCCUACUGCUGCUAACUUGGAUCUCACUUCAUGUAGGGAUGAAAAGCUACUGGGACAGCUACUGAUCUUACAAAUGACCAAACUGGCCUUCACCUCUGAAAUGGACGCCUCACCAAUUCACUGAUUCCCAGUACGGACUGUUCAAUUGAUCACAUCUGGCGACCUUAUAACUACUCCAUCUAGAGAAGAAGAUGCAAAGCAACUCUUUCUGGUGGUCUCUCUCCUCAGACCACAGACCAUGGCCACCGAGCUAGAUGUGAGCAAGUCCCGCCGUUUCGACAUUGCAAUGUCGAGGCGGACACGGCGACCCACGAGCCUGGUUGCUUGUUUCCAAGAUCAGUAUGGGCCAUCCCUGGCGCAACAUCGCCACCAAGAGCUGAAGGCAUUUCUUGAAUGCCAAGAUGCAGGGCUGAAGGCACUCCAACAUUAUGAGGAUGCAGAGCAUCUGGCACCGUGUCUGGAUGAAGAUGAGGAGCGGAAGUUUCCACAUGCACCACUCCAGUAUGAAGAUGGGGAGCUGAAGAUUCCACAAGCACCACUCCAGUAUGAAGAUGACGAGCAAAAGACACCAGAGCAAUAUCAAGAUGAGCAGGAGAAGAAAUAUCAGCAAUAUUCAGGUGAAGAGCAGAAGAAACCAGAGCAUUAUCAAGGUGAAAAGGAGAAGAAACCAGAGCAGCAUAAAGAUGAAGAGGAGAAGACGCCAGAGCAGUAUCAAGGCGAAGUGCUGAUGACACCAAACCAAUUUGAAGACGAUGAGGACACGGCAGCAGAGCGAUACCAAGACCCUGAGCAAGAGGCACCUCAACAACGCCAAGAAGCAGAUGAGAAGGCGUCAGAGCAGUCUGAAUAUGAUGAGGAGCAGCAGAAGGCACAGCAGGAAUGCUGCAACACAGAGCAGAAGGAGACGGAGCAAUUCCAAGGCUUGAAGAAGCUAGGAACGCCACUGCGUGCUGUCGACAGUGUGCCCCGGUUCUCCCUUCAGGAGCUGAUACAACAGAAGCAGCUUCAAACCGGAGAGGCAAAGCCUGCCAGCAAGCAAGCCGGACAUGGGGAAAGUGUCCUUCCUGACCAUAAGGUUUCCGGAUCAGGAGCAGCAGCAGGCGGCACGACACUGGCCAUGGUGAUAAAGCGACCCGAGGGCGGGAAGAAGUCGAUGGGGAUGAUACGGCGGUGCGUGAAGGCCCUGAACCAGAUGAUCAAGACCAAGCACGGGUCUAAGAAGAACUUGCAUUUGUAAUUUGAACAGAAUUCAGCAGUACAUGAUGAUGAGUACGUGUGGUCCAGACUCGAGAGUUUCUUAGUGGACUGCACAUCUCUGAAGAAUGCGCACGCAGUUGUACUGUACCAAGUUUUGGGCAUAAUUCAGAGUGUGCAAGAUCUGGUAAGAAACUCCGCAGCCAUACCGGGCUUUUUACGCUCCGGUCUAUACCGUCUACCUAUAGCAAUAAACUGUGAAAUUUAGCUGAAGAUCGCCAGUCUGUUACUACUUUGUUAUAAGAUGCUCUACUCACUGAAGUUGUACACUAUUUGCUCGACGAUGUAAUGGGUAAAAUGUCAAAGGAGUCGAGAUUAGGCUCUGAACGCGUGUGUUGUUGACUUCCUCUGCGAAGCUUCUUUUAGAAGUGUGAUCGUGAUCACAAAAGGGAAAUUGGUCGGUUGUACCGACACUUCUCCCCCAGGUCAGCAGUGGUUUUGGUGCAGGAUCCCUUUCUUCCUUUUUUUGUGUCACGUCCCGUUUCGGUUUGGUGUAUGAUAAAUGCUGAGAGUACAAGUUAGAUCAAAAGAAAAAGGUGGAAGAUCUGAAGCCUGUGAAGUGUCUUGAGUUCUUUGUUGAGGUCUUGAGGAUGUUGUAUCACAUGGUAUGCCAUCACACGCCUUGUUCCUUUAUAGUUGCUCUGAAUUUGCUCGGUUUGAAAAUGUGCACUGUUGAGGUUGGUACUGCAGGACGUGUUCAUGAUCUAAAAAGAUCUGCUACGAACUUUUAUGAAACUGAAAUUGAACAAACAGUUUUCCCCCUUAGCACCAUUAGCUCACACCAUAUCAUUUUUUUCUCCUUUUAGAGACAAUAUAUAUUCUCACACCAUAAGCGCAGGAAAUCUGCGUGGCACACGAGCGCCUCGCCGAUAUUCGAUACGACCAGAGACGUGCGUACAUGCGGUGGUGGAGCUAGCAGUCAAUUCAAGAGAGACGAUUGCUACAGUAUAUCGUGCCUAUUGUUUAGUAUUAACGCCUGUUCUAAAUAAAAAUUAUAAACUAGAAAAUAGAUGAUUUUUAGGAAGCAACUUUUAAGGUUUAAACUUCAGAAGAAAAAAAAAUAAAAAAGCAAAUCUGAACUAUACAAUAGGUAAGCAGACAAAACUUACAAAAAAGGGACGGGCUUCCCUGCAUUGCACCAGAAGGGAGCAGGGCUCGAACCCGAAGCAGACAAAACUGAUGAUUAACUGAUACUAAUAUUGACUAGCGCCGGAAUAGAGUAGUACUAAUAUCCAAACUAGCAAAUGAGCUACAUGAUGAAAGUCAAAAUGCAUAUAAGAAUAUAAAUGCAUGCAGCCAUACAGAUGCGUAGAAGUAGUGCGCAUGCAAUAAAUAUAGACUUCUAUGUUUUAUACAUAAUCUGCUGCAGAUAUAUCAAACAAAAAUUACUGGUUCGUACAUCCUUUAAAAAUUUAUCCUGGAGGCCGGAGCCCACUAUAGGCCCCUGAAGAGGCUCCGCCAGUGCCUACAUGGCAGCAGCCAAUGGGGCGCCUCCCACUGAUUUUUGUCAGCUCUCAGCCAGUGGCGCCCUCCACGUCAGCGCAAUCCGGCGUGCCGGAGCCAGACGAGUAGAUUCUCCGCGCCGCGUGGCGCCAGGCGGCCGCGCCCGCUAUCCCCUCGCGGAUAAGCCGGCCCCGCCCCGGCGCGCGCCCGCCGCGAGAUCCCUUAAACCUGCGGCGCGCGCGCCACCUGCCACACAGCAGCUACCGCGCCACAAGCUUUCGUUGCCAUGGCACUCGUCUCCGCCUCCUCCUCCUCCACCACCGCCGUCGCGGCGCUCCCCAGGAAUGGGCAGCGGGCGCCGUCCUUCCUCGGCGGCAAGACGCUGCUGAGGCAGGCCGAGGCGGCGCGGCCGUCGUUCGCCGUGCGCGCCGCCGCGGACCCCGACAGGCCCAUCUGGUUCCCCGGCAGCACCCCGCCGCCGUGGCUCGACGGCAGGUCGGUUGAUUCCUGGAGCUCUGUAUUCGUUCAAUUGUCUGAAAAAAGCCAGCUGCUUCAGCUUGUGUGUGACUCUGACAGUGUUCUUUGCCUUGUUGAUGCAGCCUCCCCGGCGACUUCGGCUUUGAUCCCUGGGGCCUCGGUGAGUUCUGAUCCCCGAUCAAUCUCUUUCUCCUGUGCACAUACAAUCUCUGAGCCGAGCGAUGUAAUUAACUGUCCACGCAUGUGUGCUGGCGAUUCUGUGUGCAGGAUCUGACCCGGAGAGCUUGCGAUGGAACGUGCAGGCGGAGCUGGUGCACUGCCGGUGGGCGAUGCUCGGCGCGGCGGGCAUCUUCAUCCCGGAGUUCCUGACCAAGAUCGGCAUCCUCAACACGCCCUUCUGGUACACCGCCGGCGAGCAGCAGUACUUCACCGACACCACCACCCUCUUCAUCAUCGAGCUCAUCCUCAUCGGCUGGGCCGAGGGCCGCCGCUGGGCUGACAUCAUCAAGCCCGGGAGCGUCAACACCGACCCCAUCUUCCCCAACAACAAGCUCACCGGCACCGACGUCGGGUACCGCCUCUCGCUCCAUGCAUGAUCGAACCAGCAAGAAAACAUUUUCAAAUACUCAUCUAGAGUCAAUGGCUAACGAUGAUUCGCCCGUGCACUGGAAAUGUAAUCAAGGUACCCUGGUGGCCUGUGGUUUGACCCGCUCGGCUGGGGCAGCGGCUCGCCGGAGAAGAUCAAGGAGCUGCGCACCAAGGAGAUCAAGAACGGCCGCCUCGCCAUGCUCGCCGUCAUGGGCGCCUGGUUCCAGGCCGAGUACACCGGCACCGGCCCCAUCGACAACCUCUUCGCCCACCUCGCCGACCCCGGCCACGCCACCAUCUUCCAGGUCAGCUGAAUCAAUCCACAUUAUAGCAAUACCCCAUAGCUUUGAUAUAUAUACGAUUUGGUUACUGAUUGGUGAUUUUUUUUGUUGUGUUCUUGAUCAGGCCUUCACCCCGAAAUGAGGAGUUGGAGUUAGCGAUCUGAGAUUGCAACGACGCAUGCAUGGUGGUGGAGAUUGUUAGGUUGAUGGUCGAUCGAUGCGACUCUUUUUUCUUUUUGUGGGGCGGGAUAGACUGUCCAUGAUGAUUGAAUGGUUUGCGGAGCGAUGCAUGCCUGUGUGAUCCUGUACUUGUACUAUGUUGUAACCAAUGUAAAAAUGCAAUACUCGUUAGAUGCUAUGCUCUUUCACCGAAUCAACGACUUGAUGAUUUGUGCAAUGCUCGCGGUGAUGAUGUUAAUGGCGUUGUGCACUAGGUACGCGAACGCUGAUAGGUUGCCCAAGAAAAAACGUUAAGAACGCAAGUAGAAAUAUGAUGUCAGUAAUGCUCAUAUGUGGCCUUGUUGGGCCAUUUCGCCAUUGGGAUCUGGGCAUGUCUGAAGCCGAACCACAUUGAGAGAGAGAGAGAGAGAGAGAGAAAGAUGAUCGAAUUCCAAUUGAAAUUCAGAUCUACAAAUGCCAGUUAUAGAUUUUUUAAAUUAUUGGAUUGGUCCAAUAAAUUAUAAAAUAAACUAGAAUGAUAUUUUAUUUUAUAGGGGCAAUGAACUAGAGUAGUAUGAGAUCGUAAUUAAUUAGAUUCGGAUAAACAACAAUUAGCCGCGGCUCCCUUCACCCAAUUAAGUUUUUUUUUCAUGUGGCCCAAAGCAGCUUAGAGCAAACGGUGAGGAGCAAGCUUGGGAUAUCUAGGAUUUUUUUUUUUACUUUCAAGUAGACCCCAUACUAUUUUUUAUCCAAGGUUUGAUGCAAAUCUUUGGUUACACGGCUGUAUGAAUCAAAUCAACGCUUGGAGAAAGCCUACUUGAGUCGAUUUUUACGUUUUCAAUCAUUAGAGUCUUAUUUAUCUGUUAUUCGCUUAAUUUUACAUUCAAUCUUAUGAAGAUUUUCUGCAUACAAAUUUAUCGCUUUAUUCGCUAAGAAUAUGCUGCUACGUUAUUUGGUUGGGAAGACGAUGGAAAAGUAUAGCAAAACUUCUGUCGCUUCAAGUUUCGCUUAUUUUCGAAAUAUCGGCAUUACGGGGGGGUCUAACGCGAAGUUUGACCGCUCAACUUUCCCUGCAAGAAUGGAUCGCGAGACCCCAGAAGAGUAGACAGAAGACAAAGGAAGCCGAGGGGCACCAUCCCAAAAACCUGAAAGAAAUUGAAUCGAGUUGGGGAGAAAAAAAGGAAAGGGGGACGAGCACGCGCCGCCACCAGCACCGCGCCCGCCAUGGCCGCCGCCUCCUCCCGCCGCGCGUCGCAGCUGCUGGGGUCCGCCGCCUCCCGCCUCCUCCAUGCGCGGGGCUUCGCCGCGGCGGCCGCCGCCGCGCCCUCGCCGGCGGUCUUCGUCGACAAGAGCACCCGCGUGAUCUGCCAGGGCAUCACGGGGAAGAAUGGCACCUUCCACACCGAGCAGGCCAUCGAGUACGGCACCAACAUGGUACGCCUCCCCGCCGCUGCCAACCCCUGCCUAUCUCCCUCUGAUUUGCGCCCUCGAUCCGUGCGUUCCGUUCUGUGCUGCGCGAUUCUAGGGUUUGACAGAGUCCGUCAUGUCCAAUCUGGUGGGCGUGCGGUCGCCGAUCUUCAUUUCCUCGGGUCCUACGGUCUCGUUUCGCAGCCUUACGGUCCGAUCCAGAGCGAGAUACCAGCAGAUUACUCAUCUCUUAUACCCUAUAUAUUUUCUCUCUCCGUCACCAAUAAUACUUUUUACGUUUUUGGUAGUCAGUGCUGUAGCAGAUUACUCAAAGGAUAGGGUGGAGUGAGGAAUCCCCUACAUUUGUGCAAGAGGGAGGUGUGUUUUGUCGAUUACAAAAAAUAUUUUGGUACUGGUGAUGGAAUUGGUAAUCUGCUGGAGCACCUCCCAUUACUAAAAGGACAGUUUUUUGGUACUGGGGAGAGGGAUGAGUAAUCUGCUGGAGAUGCUCAGUACGCUUACCUGGAUGAUAUUGCCUUGUUGGAGGCAAAAUGUGUGCUAUUAUAAUUGCCUUUUUCUUUUCGUGGAUAGUGCUAUUAUGUGGUAUAAUGCCUGAAACUGUAAGUGAAGCAGCAGCAAUGCCUAGGUUUCAUUAUCAUUUGUUGAGUUGAUUGAAUGCUGGUGAUGAAUGUUUAUUUUCAUUGUCUAGUAGUUUUCAGCGCUGUUCACCAUGCAAUCUAGCGGCAGCAUUUGUCAGUUAGAUGGGGAUUAGUGAUUUAUGUGCUGUGACUUAAGAAAAUGUCGUCAAAGUAUACAAUGUUUUGAUGGAUUUCUUGAUGUUUUAUACGGCCAACAUGCAAAUUAAUUGGAAUUUUUUGAGGUUAUGAGAAUCAUAUCCAUCAUGAAUGCACUGAAACCUUUCAAGCUGUUUUAGUACAAUCUAACACAAAUAUCAUGUAUGAAGAUGCAAUCAUUCCUCAGUAAUGGGAUCGAAGCAAGUUUUGUUUCUUAUCUGUUUUAUGUAAAUGGGCUGCAGUCCUUACACAAGGAAAUUGUGACAUAGGAAGAAGGAAGUAAGGAAGUCAGCAUGUUGAAGUCUGUGAUGUUUGGUACGAUAGGUUCCCUGGACCUGGCAUGAUGCUUGGAGGUCUCAUCAUAUUCGAAUCUACAGUUAUAUUCUUGACUAGUAGAUUCAUAUAAUUAACUGUGCCACAACAAAAGAAUUGGCUCAGAUGCAUUUUUUUUUCAUGUCAUGUGGUGUUGUACUAGUAUUAUUAUGAAUAGUUCAAUACAGCUGAAAGGAUUCAUGCUGCACAAUUUUUUUGGGCAAUGGAUUUAUAUAUUUACGGUGUUUAAGUAAAUAAGUAUUAUAGCUUUUGAAUGUAAUAAUUUUGAUUUUUUUCUUGUAUUUUGUGGACCUCUUUUUUUAUUAAGGUCAUUUUUUUUGUUAUAACAGGUGGGUGGAGUGACUCCUAAGAAAGGUGGAACUGAACAUUUAGGGCUCCCAGUGUUUAACUCUGUAGCCGAGGCUAAGGCUGAAACAAAGGCCAAUGCAUCUGUUAUAUAUGUUCCACCACCAUUUGCCGCCGCCGCUAUAAUGGAGGCAAUGGAGGCUGAGCUCGACCUUGUUGUCUGCAUUACAGAAGGAAUUCCUCAGCAUGACAUGGUAAUUUUUGCCAUUUCAUUACUUUGUUAGUUAGAGCAUCUCCAACAGACUUUAUAUCUUUAGGAAUAGAGAUUUUGUUUAAAAAAUUACCUCCAACAGCCUCUUCAGUUGGAUAUCUAAAUAUAGACCUCCUCUACUCUGGAUUUGUCGCUAGCCAAAGAUGGAGAGCGAGAAUUGCUCUCUAGACUACGCACAAGAUAUAGAAAAGCUGUUGGAGAGUACAAAGAUAUAGAAAAUAAUUUUUACUCAAAUGACUCUCUGAUUGAUGAUUUAGAUAGUAGAUUUUAGAAAGGCUCUUGGAGAUGCUCUUACUAUCAUCCUUUGUCUUCUGAGCUUGGGAAUCUGCUCAAUACCAUAUCAUGUUUGGUUUACUUAACUGUACUUGCAAAUUACUUUUUUUUUUGGCAAAAGCAUUAGAAAAUAGUGUGAGUGUGUGGUCAACAUCAUCUUGCGCAGGUGGAUAUGUAGUAUGUUAUUAUUCUCUAGUGGGCAGGGUGAGAUCUAACUUUUGUUAAAUAAAGUAUGUGAUCCAAAGACACAGAUUUUACAAGCAUAGUCCGUUUUAGCAGUUUGCUUGCUGAUAUUCCUUUUAUGAUAUUUUUUCCCUACAUAUUGCUAUUACCUAUUAACUUGCGUCACAGCACAAUUAUUCUAUUUUACUUUGUUAAUGGAACUCCAUGAGGUGACAUCAAUGUUCCCUUUGCCAAUUUUAGGUGAAGGUGAAGGCUGCACUAAACAAGCAGUCAAAAACUCGAUUGAUUGGGCCGAAUUGCCCUGGUAUCAUUAAGCCUGGUGAGUGUAAAAUUGGUAUCAUGCCAGGUUACAUCCACAAGCCUGGGCGUGUUGGGAUCGUAUCUCGUUCUGGUACCUUGACAUAUGAAGCGGUAUGUCUGUUAUUAUUAUUUUUUUAUGUAUGCAUGUAAUCAGGUGAUUUGUUUGACUAAGUUGCAUUUGAUUUUUGUUGACAGGUGUUUCAAACAACUGCUGUAGGCUUGGGGCAGUCAACUUGUGUAGGCAUUGGUGGUGACCCAUUCAAUGGCACAAAUUUUGUUGAUUGCCUUGAAAAGUUUGUUGACGAUCCUCAGACAGAAGGUACACCUAUUGUGACUGAUUCUUCACAAUUUUAAGCAAAAAACUUUCUAAAAAGAAUAGCUGUGAACUGCGUACUCUUCUAUGUGGAAUUAAUCCCAUAUAUUUGGUAUUUUUGGCACUUGAAUGCUUCAACUACAUUAUUUGUUUUUUCAAUACUAUCUCCAUAUGCCUUUUUCAGUCAACACAGUUCCAUUCCAUUUAUGGAUUGUUCUCACUGUUGGACAAUAUUCUGUGCCUUUCAGGUAUUGUUCUCAUUGGUGAAAUUGGAGGUACUGCUGAGGAGGAUGCUGCAGCAUUCAUCCAGGUAAGAGUUUGUCAGUACCAUCAUAUAUUUAGAUUCUUUUUUUCUUCUGAAUGACAUAUUUACAUGCCAUGGUUCUGUAUUGAUUCUGCACUCUGCAACACCAUUCCCUCAUGAGCUAGUGAAGUUUCAUGCAGUUCAGUCUUGAGCACUUUUUCAGUGUCAUAGGGACACAUUUCCCAUUGUUCUUUACGGAAGGCAAUUAAGCUAGAUGCCUGGACCUUGAUUUAGCUUGAGCAUAUAUGCUUACUCAGCCCUAGCUUUAAGCUGGUCCCACAAUUCCUAUGCAAGCUCUGGGUUGUGGCCCACAUUUUCGCUAAGUAGGCCAUCUUAUCCAUCUGGUAUGUGCAUUCAGUUUAGUAAAAACCCUUGUGGCUACCUACUCUUGCCAUAGACCUAAAGUAGUUGCUAUGAACCAAAGAAGUUUCAUGUGACAUGGAGUGACUUCAUGUAUGUGGUCAGGUUAGAAGUUUAAGUAACUAACGCCCUAUGGGUUCGUUUGUCUUAUGAAGGGAGUUAUCAUUAGUUGCUGCAGACAUUACAUCUCAUAACCGCUUGUCUUCUGGCUUGGUUCUGGAACUUCUUUUUUCUGUCUCUUUUUUUUAAUGUUUUGCUGAAUUAAAUUACAUUUUCCAUCUACUAACUUCAUCUGUUAUGCUCCUCAGGAAAGCAAAACACAGAAGCCUGUUGUUGCAUUCAUUGCUGGACUUACGGCACCCCCGGGCCGUCGCAUGGGUCAUGCUGGAGGUAUUACCUUAGCAAGACCUUCAUUCUUUUAAUUUGAAUCUUACAUAUUUUUCCCCAUUCGAUUGUGUAACACUUUGAAGUAUGAAGUCGAAAUGGUCAUCGCAUUUUAUUUGAGUUAAGAUAUGCCACUUACGUGUCACAAUUCUACUCUCUCUCUCUCUCUCUGGAGAUCAAUUUACUAAAUGUCCUUAUCAAAAUUUUUUUUACUAAAUGCCUGGAGACAACAAAAGAUACUUAAGCAAUUUAUGAGACUAUACAUGAAUAACAAAGCCCUUUAGUCCCAAGCAUGUUGUGGUAGGCAAAUUUAUACAUGUCUACCAAUUUGGAGAAAUUCUUUGUUACUACUGUGACAUUCAUCAAACUUGCUCUGGCAACCUGGUUUGCAUUCUUGAAUACACUGUAAUCACCAACUCACGGUAGUAUGCUAAAAUGGCUUUAUCUGCCCAUUCCGAUUUUUAUUAUACUGUUAGAUAUUAAUAUGCUUAUUUUCCUAAUUCAGUUUCAUUCCCUUUUUACCAUGUUACAUGUGCUAAUAUAGUUCCAUGCCAUCCUUGUUACGCAGCAAUUGUAUCAGGAGGAAAGGGUACUGCCCAGGACAAAAUCAAGGCACUCAGAGAGGCUGGUGUCACUGUCGUCGAGUCACCAGCGAAGAUUGGUUCUACCAUGUUUGAAAUCUUCAAGCAGCGUGGGAUGGUAGAAUAGAGGGACGAAAUGGUACAGUUGAGAAACAUUGGAAAACCUCUUUUUGAUGCUCGUUGGGUAAUUGCGAGCCAUUCCUUGGUAGAGCCGCGCCGGCCACAAAACAAAACCACUCAGGCUUCCUUUUCUUCCUUUAUUGUCUGCUGUGUGCACAAGGAUCCUUACCAUGAGCUCAUUUCAAUAAGACAUUCUGGAGGUCAUGGACAUGAUGUUUUACUUUGGGAGUCAAUGUGGAUGCCUAAGCUGUUUAAAUUUUUUUAACGUUUGACAAUGUUUUCAAUCUAGGUUUAUUGAUCUGUUGGCAUGUCCUCAGUGCACAUUGUAUUAUUUAUACAUGUGUAUAACGUCAGCGGAAAAUUGUGCGCACAAGGCUGCCGGAUCAACCGCACAGCUGACUGCUACUGAAAAUUUGCAGAUUUUGUCACAGUAACAAUAGUUGCCUCAAAUUGCUACUUCGUUGCUUUGAUUAAGCUACUUAGCCGCAUGCAAUUGGUGUAAUGUUUAAUGGUAUUAUGUCCCGGCGACUUUUUAGGCUGGCUUAUCAACCUCAUCGUGCUGUCGCACUAGCCGACUGUCUAUUCUUGCACAUGAAAGGCUAUAAAGACUACUAUGUUGAGGAAAAAAAUGUAUGCCAUGGGAAAUGUUGAGAACAGUGUGUUAUGUGAUGUCAGGAGUGUGUUUAAUCUUAGAACUGUGUUGUUUGGUUGUCCUAAUUUUUGCUCUUUUUUUUCAUUUGUGCCUUAAGUAAUGUAUGGAGGUGGCGCUUGUUACCAAAGACCUACCCCAACUCCGUUGAGUGAGUAUAGAAGUGCUCCAGCUGUUUACUUCAAAAAAAA
rnacentral:lncRNA from 1 species